GUGAGUUCUACCGAUCUACCGUGAAAGUUGACCAUGAAGAUUCAUGUAAACUUGAUUAGCGACCGAUUAAUGUGUUUCUUGAAUCGCGAGUGAAGUGCCAAAUUCCAAGGAAUUAAAGGAAUUAAUCAUUUCUCCAGAAAUUAACUCUUCCCAGGAUACAAAUUUUGAAUUUCCCGCCUUUCCAGAAGAAAUGGAGAGGAAAUUAAAGCUAGCCUUAUUUCUGAUGAUCACAUACUGCACGAGUGUGAAAUCCUCGGAUGAAAAGUCGAAGGAAGAAUCAUUAGAAACGGCUGCAGCAGCUCAAUUGGACAGACUCGCUCCAUUCCGGAAGGAAAAUCAGCUUCCAGAAAAUUUUCCAGAUAAUUUCAAGGAUCUCUUUCGUUAUUAUGCGAACAAAACGAAUCGAGAAGCAUCAAGGACGAGAGAAAAAUUUGAGGAGCUCAGGUUUCCUCUUCAACUCCUCAAGUUGCUUGGUAACACUCAGAUCAAGGGAUCUGAAUUGGAAGUCAAGAGAAGAGGAGACGCUCUGGAAGCAAAUUCCAAUCACUUUCAGGACUCAAGUUACGACGCGCUCAUGCAAGAGAGGAUCAGGCGUUCCGGAUCCAACUCCGGAAGUUUUGUUUCCGGAAUCGCUACCAACAUUAUUGGUGGCGUCGUAAGAGCUUCAUCUGGAGCCUCCAGAGGAAGCUCAUCCAGCUCAUCCGGCUUAUCUACUUCAUCUGAUUCACAUCCGAAUUCUUAUGGACCGCCUGUUUAUUCUUACGGUCAACAAUCUUUCGACAUCUGGGACUUCAAAAAGGCCAUCCUGAAUACGGUAUUCCAAGCACUCAAAGCCAUCAGUGGUGGUGUUCUUGCUCUGAAAGGACAGUUAAUCAAAGGUGGAGGAUUCCUCGUCUCAACGAAAGGAAAAAUUAUCAGUAGCACUGGAGAAGCUAUUUCCAGUUUAGGUCGAAACAUAGCCAGCAGUACUUAUGUAGUUGCACCAAAACCAGCUUAUUCUCAUAGUGGAUAUGCAUACAAUCCACCCCCAACCAGUCAUGACGAAUCUUACGAUGGGCCACCCCCUAGUGCAAACGAUUAUACGUCCAAUGGAUUUGAGGACAGCUACCAUCCACAGAAUAGCUUUGGUGCUGCAUCUGAUGACGAUGUUCAAGCCGGCCUAGUGAUCAUGACUCCCACUGAUUCUGACCACCACCAAGAGGACCAUCAUCAGGAUUUGGACCCUCGACACCCUAAUAUUAAAGGCUUGGAGGAUAGCUUCGGUGGCCCUCAAAAGGGAUCUAAUAUGGGUAACAUUCUCAAGGGUAUAAGUGGAGACUCAAGUUUAAAGGGUCAAUUUUCUCCUCAAGAGCUUCAGGAAUUUCAGCUUCCAUCCACCAAAUCACCUCCUCCAUUUACAGCACUAAAUCAUCAAAACUUUCUGAGCGACAACAAAAAUCUGGAAUAUUACCCCAUUCCAGACAAUCAGAAUGAUGGCUACCAUGUCGAAAUACCAAAAAUAGCUCCUCUUCCAAUAUCAGAAUCGAAUCCAAGCAACAGUCUACAUAUCGAUUACCCUCCGAACAACUUCGUUCAGAAUGUUGAUCAGCUCCACGUUUCUGGCCAUACCAAUAUAUUUGAGCCGAUGAAAUUCCAGAAUGAAAAUCACCCGUUUUUUAAAAAUGGAAUUCAUGGUCUCGAAUUACCCAAAUUGACAACGCUUGAUCAGCACAAUUUGCAGGAACAAUUUUCAAGUUCACAAGUUGCUGGAAUUAAAGGGUCUCUUCUUUCUGGAUCUCCAAUCAGAUUUGGCCAAGAGCCAUUGAAGAUACCGAUUCUGAAUGAAUUACCUAAGGAACAUCGACAGCAUUUCAAACAAAUUGGAAAUGGACCUUUUCAUCUUAAGACGUUUGAACCGUUUAAUACGAAACAAUUUGGUGAUGCUAUUUUUGGCGGGAAAAUAAUUCAUCAAGGGUUUGAAAUUCAACCGUCUGUGGGAUACAGUUUGAAGGAUUCUGGUCUUCAUAGGACAUAGAAUUUGAGACUGAGAUUUGAGACUAAGGUAACAUUCGACUUUGACGUUGACAUUUGGAGGCAAAAGAAUUAUUUUUGAGUUGUCUACGCUUACGCUUUGUACCCAAUCCGACCAAAUUAUCGGAUAGGACAGAGGUACCUUCCAUCAGAGAAGAUAAUGCAAAGAAUUUUUAAACCCAGAGAAUUGGUUUCUCCAAAUUGAAAUAGCUUUGCAGAUUCAGCAGUUGGAUCCUCUUUUCAUGAUGAAAAGUUAAUAUUAAUCCAGAAUUGUAUGCACCAAAUAGCGUGAUGUCUCCUUGGACUCAGUAUAAGUUUAAUUUAUUUUUAUAUGUUUCAAAAAUGUUUUAUACUAUUUUGUAUGGUAAUUUUUAGAUAAUUAUUUUAUUUAGUUAUAAGAAUCGUUACUUGUUUUCCCCCGUAAGGAUUUAUUUAUUUUUGAUUUAGCUUUUUGAGUUGUACAGAGAAACAUGUUACAAAACAUAUUUGUUCAUCGCUCAUUGCGAAAGGACAGUGACAAAAGGGUACUUAAUUACCUUUGAGGCUAAUUACAUUUGCGAUUUAAUUAAAUUUCCUUUCUUUCUUAAGGGCAGAUGAUGAUUCCGCCCCAGCUACCUGCGAACGCUUCCCCCACUACACGGCCUCCCCUCGCUGAACCGAAAUGUUGCCGCCGAGCCUGGUCAGCGGGAAUCCUUUCUACCUAUUAAAGACUGUAAAGCUGAAUAUUUGACUUUAAAAGUUAAAAAAAAAGGAUAAACAAAAAUUACUAACAAAAAAAAAACAAAGUAAUUUUCAUUAAAAACUCAGAAAAUUUGAGUCAAUUAUUGACUUUUAAAGAAGUCGGGUAAGUUUAAGAUAUACUUAGAAGCUUUAAGAAGAUUCAAAAUAAUUCGAAACCUAAAAAGAUUUCAAAACAUUUAAAACAAAACGUAAAUUUUUGAAGAUUUGAGUACAAAUUUUAG